UGAAAUUUUGCAGUUAUGAGGGGGACAACAUUAAUGGUUAUGCUUUUUCUUAACGAGAAAUUGACAAAUCUAGACCCAAAUAGUAUUAUUAGGGUUUAUUGCCAAUCUGUAGCGACUAUCAACCUUCUUAUAGCAUUUGCUAGUGGAAGCUAUGCUGCAACGCAAAGACUUUUGCAGUGAAACCUUCAUUUUGCGGAGAACAUUCAGCAAGGGAACAGCACAGACAAAUUUGUUGAGAUUUGAGUUUCAAAGCUUGAAAAAACCAGUUUCUGACAUGCCUAUUAUUUGGCCUUUGAUUGACCGGCACCAGGGAUUAGCUCGUCAAGAUGAUGACCAACAACAACAUGGAUCUAAAUGAGCUAGUAAAGCUUAUUGAAAUUUUGAAUCCUCGUACCAUCGCGUUGGAGUUUCCAAGACCAAAUCAGUAAUUUGCAGAGGAAGAUGAUGAGAAAAGCAGAUUAAGUUUUCUGCAGCUCCUUAGUAAUUUAUGCGUUGAACUGUUUGUAUCCAGUUUUCUUAGAUAUGGAACAGGAGUUAUUCCGAGUAGUCUGAGAGUUAUGUUGUUGCUGAAAUUGUAUAUAACUGAGCAGUUUUGAUGAAUAAAACAGGAAAUGGAAUUUGUAUA